rnacentral:tRNA from 2 species
AGGGCUGUAGUUAAUAAUAACAUUUGAUUUGCAUUCAAAAAGUAUUGAAAUAAAUUCAAUCUGCCUUA